UUUCCAUGCUAGUCCCCUCUUCUCUUCUCUCUCAACCUUGUCCUGCCUCCGAAGAAAAAUUUCUUACCUCUCCAUAUCCACUGGAUUUCUUACAGAAACUAACAGAUCUUCAUGAAAAAGAACACUACACCAUGAACCAGGAAGAAAAACCAUUUCCUUCUUCACUCCAGAUCUAUUUGUAUCACUAUGUUCGAUUUAAAACCAUUUUCUUCAAUCUCAACUCAAAACCAGUCUUCUUAACCAUUUCCUUUUUCAUCUUUGUUGUUUGUGUGGUAUUAAUAGUUCUUCUUAUUGGAACCAAAGUUACGAUUUAAAUGAGUUUUUAGAAGACGAACAAUCAGCCUCAGUUGGAUUUCUUGAACUUCUUCAGCUUCAUCCGACUUGCUUUACGGAAAAGGAUUGUUUGAGUAAGCUGUGGUGUUAUGUGCUUCAGUGCUUUAGGUUGCAUCCAAAGGAUAUGGGUUUGUUGUGUUCUGUACACGUGCAGCAGCUGAGGAAGUUUUGCAGACCUAUAAUGGCUCCGCAAUACAGAACAACCUUUAGAUUGAACUGGGCUCAUUUAGCAUGAGAGAUAAGCGUUCAGAUGUUGGUUCUGAACGUUCUAUAUAUGUAGAAGAUUUGGCUUAUGAUGUUAUAGAUACAUUAUUGCAGAAAUCUUUUGGAUUGUAUUUUUUUGUGUGUGUAGACUUUGUCUUGGAUACGCAUUCCUUGGUGGACAUGGGCAGGAGGUUCGAAAAAUUAUCAAUGAGCUCAGUCAAGCAAUAAGAAAGAACCCUCUCAUGUCCCUGAUCUCGCCGUGCCAGAUACUAUAACACCUAUUGUGGAGGAUCUCAGUAAUGGUGUUGAAGUUCAUCAUCAUCUGAACAAUUAGGAAGAGGUAGUUGUGCAGGAAGAGGUUGAGGAGCCUCCUCAAGUUCAAUCAAUGCAAAUUGAAGUUCGGAAAAUGACAGAGCCUGCUGGGCCUGUGGUGCAAGAGGUUGCUUCAAAGAAAUCAUAUGAAGCCCUGGUUCAAGCUGAAAGUUUCAAAUGGUACGGCUGCAGAUGCAGAUCAAUUGCUUGCUCAUUGGAUUUAUAAGCUUUAUCUGGAGCAACUGAUCCAAUUCUGAAUUUCGUAGUCUAUAUGCAAAUCAGCAUGCGAAGACGAAUGUACUAAAAUGCUCUGUUCUUACCAUGAAUUUGUGUAGGCAAGUGUUCUGCAAGUGGUACUUCUAUUUUGCCGUAAAUAACUUCAGCAUGUGGGGAAAUUCAUGGGGGUGCAUGUGCAUUAGUUAAACCAAUGCUGGAGUGCCCAUCUUAUUGCUGUUGCAGAGAACACUGGAGCUGAGGAUCCCGAUGAUCCCUACACCAUGGGAAGGUGUUCUUUCACCUCUAUAUAUUGUAGUUUGAUGUUUUGAAUAUAUUUUGGAUAUUUUGAAUGUUAAAUGAGUUAAAUAUUAGUAUCAAAAUGAAGUUUAUGUUUAUUUUUUCAUGAUA